UACGUAGGGGGCUAGCGUUGCUCGGAAUUACUGGGCGUAAAGGGCGCGUAGGCGGGUCGUUAAGUUAGAGGUGAAAGCCCAGGGCUCAACCCUGGAAUUGCCUUUGAUACUGGCGGCCUUGAGUAUGGCAGAGGUGUGUGGAACUCCGAGUGUAGAGGUGAAAUUCGUAGAUAUUCGGAAGAACACCAGUGGCGAAGGCGACACACUGGGCCAUUACUGACGCUGAGGCGCGAAAGCGUGGGGAGCAAACAGG
rnacentral:rRNA from 1 species